rnacentral:rRNA from 1 species
GGAAGGAUCAUUAACGAAUUCGAUCGAGGUUGUGCUGGUUCUCACAAGUGCACGCCUCUUAAUUCAUUCACACCCAUCGUGCACCUUUAGAGAUUCGGACGUCGUGUCGUCUCCCCCCGUUUACGUGCCCUCGGGCUAUGGGGCUUCGACGGUCCGGUCUAUUUCAUACACCCCUAUCAGUAUUCAGAACGUCUUCCGCAGAAAUGCGAAUAACAAAUAAUAUAACUUUCAACAACGGAUCUCUUGGUUCUCGCAUCGAUGAAGAACGCAGCGAAAUGCGAUAAGUAAUGUGAAUUGCAGAAUUCAGUGAAUCAUCGAAUCUUUGAACGCACCUUGCGCCCCUUGGUAUUCCGAGGGGCAUGCCUGUUCGAGUGUCAUGAAACUCUCAAACCGCAUCUUUAUCGAUGUCGGGCUUGGACUUUGGACGUUGCUGGGUUAACGCUCGGCUCGUCCCAAAUGCAUUAGCUGACUCUCCCGGCUUCAGUUUUUCGGCGUGAUAAUCACAUCUACGUCGAUGCCGCGAGGCGCUGGACCGGGACGCAAGCGGCUCAUAACGGUCUUCGGACGAUUUUUCAUUCACAUUUGACCUCGAAUCAGGUAGGACUACCCGCUGAACUUAAGCAUAUCAAUAAGCGGAGGAA